rnacentral:rRNA from 1 species
CCUACGGGCGGCAGCAGUGGGGAAUAUUGGACAAUGGGGGCAACCCUGAUCCAGCCAUGCCGCGUGUGUGAAGAAGGCCCUCGGGUUGUAAAGCACUUUCAGUGAGGAAGAACGCCUGGUGGUUAAUACCCAUCAGGAAAGACAUCACUCACAGAAGAAGCACCGGCUAACUCCGUGCCAGCAGCCGCGGUAAUACGGAGGGUGCGAGCGUUAAUCGGAAUUACUGGGCGUAAAGCGCGCGUAGGUGGCUUGAUAAGCCGGUUGUGAAAGCCCCGGGCUCAACCUGGGAACGGCAUCCGGAACUGUCAAGCUAGAGGGCAGGAGAGGAAGGUAGAAUUCCCGGUGUAGCGGUGAAAUGCGUAGAGAUCGGGAGGAAUACCAGUGGCGAAGGCGGCCUUCUGGACUGACACUGACACUGAGGUGCGAAAGCGUGGGUAGCAAACAGGAUUAGAUACCCUUGUAGUC